GGCUCUCUCUUUUAAUUUCCUGAUUUGCCCAUUCCCCAGGCAUCAACUCUCCUCAGGAGCUGCCCAUGCCCAUCCUUCCUUAUGCUUUGAUCUGAAUCUCAGGCCUCCCACAGAAAUUAGUGGGAGGCAGCUGCUAGCCCAUGCUUAGGAUGACUCUUCACACCUCAAUUAACGUAAUUGGGCUAAACCCCAUAGACGUCCAACAGAUCAACCCGGACCUAGACAGUCUCACGUUGGGGCCAUCUUACCGGGGUCUUCUAGAUCGCCUUAAGUCGACUGUUAUAAUCAGUCAACGCAAAUGUUUUGGAAAGUAACGGUAUAAUUCAAUCCAUCCCUCCUCUUCCUCCUUCUCUUCCCCUCCCCCUUCUCUCUCCCUUCUCCCUCCUUUUCUUCCUCUUUCCCCCUCUGCCUCUCCCCACCACACACACACACCAGAACAUCCUUUUCCUCCUUCCUUUCUCAUCUCCUUAUCAAGGGCAAGACAUAUCUACUAAGAACAACAGGGGUAUUGCCAUCCACGCACUGUGGACUGCCUUACCUUCUCUGCCUCCAUAUAGAACGCAGUUUUGAUUUGACUGAGUGGCCAGGAGGCCAUUCCCAGUCAGAAGGCUGUGACAAGUGGAGAGUAUAUUCCAUCAGACGAGCACAUGAAGUCAGGGAGGGGGGCACAAAAAUAACCCAGAGCCACCAAAACCCAUCAGAAUGUUCCAGAUAGUUUCACGAUAAGCUGGAAAUUGCUGAAAACACCGGCAGUCAGAAAGACGCAAGCUACAGCUGGAAGAAACCUAUUAACCAGAGACAGAGAACUCAUCCAGGGAGUGCCGGCUAUAUCCGCAUAAUACGGACAGAGACUGGAUAUCCGUUGCCCUAUGUGUCGAAAGCCAGAGCUUUGCUGGAUGUGUGCUGUGGACCACACAUUCUUUGCAAUAGGACCAGAGAGGACUUCAUCACAGAGUCAACCAUCAAGGACCAAGGACCAUGGCAGGCUUCCACAUGAGGUGUCACCUUGCCAUUGUGUGUGGACAUUUCUUCAGGCUCCUGACACAUUCCUAGGGAUGGCUUUGUCGAAGGGACAGGAGGAGUUACUGAGAGGAGUCAGUCACUAGCACCAAAUCCCUUCUCCCUGUUGCAGUGACAGAGACGAAAGGUUGUCUUUCUGCUUGACGGCCAUCUUUAUUUGACAGCAGUACAGUCUACAUCAGUGGUUCUCAGCCUCCCUAACACUGUGACCCUUUAAUACAGUUCCUCAUGUUAUAAUGACCCCAAGUCACAAAAUUAUUUUCAUUGCUACUUCCUAACUAUAAUCUUGCUAGUGUCACGAAAUCCUAGUGCAAAUAUCUGUGUUUUCUGAUCGUCAGUCUUGAUGUCAGUUUGGUUGGCUUGAUAGACACCUAGGAGACCAGCAAGGUGUGCCUUCGGGGGUUCUGUGAGGGGUUUCCAAGGAGAAUUAACUAAAUGAGAGGAGAACCAGGGUAGAAGAGAUGAUUUAGCUUAAAUGUAGGCAGCGUUGUACCAUAGGCAGGGUGAAGGAGGAAACCCACAGUGCAAACAUUCUCGUAUCUUCCCCCUUUCUUCCUUCUCCCAACCCUACUCUCUGCUUCCUGGCCUUCCUGGUGGAUGAUACUCUCUUCUCUGCUAUGCCCUCCCACCCAAGACAGAGAAGAACCUCUAAAAUCGUGCCCCAACUCCACAAUUCUCCAUAGGUUGUUGGCUUUGGGUGGGAACAUAUACUGCCUUCCUGGCCAAGUCCAUAAAUCUGGCACCAUUCCAGUUCCUGACCCCAAAGGAGGCGAAGGUAGGUCUCAGAACUAGUUCUGGGAACCCGUUCUGCCACCCAGUCACCGUG